AUCUUCAGUUGCCGGGGGCUUACCACCGUUAGGAAGGCCAGGUCCUGCUGCCCAGUCAUCUGACAGAAGGGCAGGUUCAUCUGUAUCCGGAUAUAGGAAAGAUGAAUACAACUGGAGAUAUGAAAAUGAAGAGCUUUCGCAAGAUGUAAUGCUUGCCUCAUCUGCCUUAGAAAACCUUCAAUUGGACAGAAAAGCUCGGAACCUUGCCACUUCAUGGCGGCAUAGAGGUGAUGGCAUUUCUGAGAAUGAUGGCAGGAUGGAAUAAGAUUGAGAUUAUAUCAUCUCGAAAUCACUAAUUAUAUGGGAAUUGAUGAUAUCCUUCAACGUAGAAAUGCAAUGUUCUAAUGUACGCUAUGUAUGAUUUAAUACACAAUAUUGCUUGUAGUAAUUCGUGUGUGCUUCUCAUUUUCCUGUAGUAAUUCGUGUGUGCUUCUCAUUUUCC
rnacentral:misc_RNA from 1 species